GUCUGUGGCAGAAGCUUCACUGGAAGUUGCUACAAGGCGCUGCAGGAACCUGGAGGAAGCCAACCUGGGCUUGGAAAAAUAAUUGGGAGAGGCUAAAUCCAAGAACUGAUGAAAAAGAGAAAAGGAAAAGCCAACAGAAAGCUUGGUGGAAGGUGGAAGAACACACGUGGAAGUGGCUGCAAAUCCAGUUCACCAUUCAGCUCACCUGGGACAUCCUGGCACCAGUCUGGUUCUGAACAGAAGUCCAGUAGGAAGCAUCCCCAGCUCACCCAUAGGAGCAGAACCAUUGAUGAACAGGAUUUCCUCUUCUGCAGUCAGGGAACUGGAUGAGUUCAUCUCUGAAGAAGUUGGUAAGAAGAAGAUGGUAAGAUGAAGAACAAGACACUGGUGAACUUUAAACUACAUCUUUGGGAGCUUAUUCCAUAUCUUGUGAUGGAUCAGAAGAGAUGAAAAUAUGUUUCUGUCAGUCUGAAUAAAUGUUAUGAGUCUCUUGGAUGGAUGACAGCCCUGUUGCCCUUCCCUGGUGUUUUUUUGAUGCAUAGUCCUUUCCCUCUCCCUGUUCCCUUUUCUCUCCUCUCCUCUCCUCUC